UCCAAUCCGGCAGGAUCACCGUAAAUCCGGCGUUGACUGCAAUUCCGGCGGGAUCAACCGGAACCCCGACGUUGACUCCGAUUCCGGCGGGAUCAACCGGAACUCCGGCGUUGAAUCCAAUUCCGGCAGGAUCAACCGGAACCCCGGCGUUGAAUCCAAUUCCGGCAGGAUCAACCGGAAAUCCGGCGUUGACUCCAAUUCCGGCAGGGUCAACCGGAACCCCGGCGUUGACUCCAAUUCCGGCGGGAUCAACCGGAAAUCCGGCGUUGACUCCAAUUCCGGCGGGAUCAACCGGAACUCCGGCGUUGACUCCAACUCCGGCAGGAUCAACCGGAAAUCCGGCGUUGAAUCCAAUUCCGGCGGGAUCAACCGGAACUCCGGCGUUGACUCCAAUUCCGGCGGGAUCAACCGGAACCCCGGCGUUGACUCCAAUUCCGGCAGGAUCAACCGGAACUCCGGCGUUGAAUCCAAUUCCGGCACCGGUUGAUCCUGCCGGACCUGACUGCUAUCGGAUUGGUACUAAGCCAUGCGAGUCGUUGUAGCAAUACAAGGCGGACUGCUCAGUAACACGUAGUUACCUUAACUAUGGAUGGGGAUACCUCGGGA
rnacentral:rRNA from 1 species